UCUAUCUCUUUUAGGAGUUGUAUGGUUUCACAUCUUACAUUCCAGUCUUUAAUCUAUUUUGAGUUCAUCUUUGUGUGUGGUGUAAGA